rnacentral:rRNA from 1 species
UACGUAGGGCAAGCGUUGUCCGGAAUCAUUGGCGUAAAGCGCGCGUAGGCGGCCCGGUAAGUCCGCUCUGAAAGUCCAGGCUCAACCCUGGAAGCGGUGGAUACUGCCGGCUCGAAUCCGGAAGAGGCGAGUGGAAUUCCUGGUGUAGCGGUGGAAUGCGCAGAUAUCAGGAGGAACACCAAUAGCGAAGCAGCUCGCUGGACGGUAUUGACGCUAAGCGCGAAGCGUGAGCAACAGG